CAAUAGCGUAUAUUAAAGUUGUUGCAGUUAAAAAGCUCGUAGUUGGAUUUCGGGGUGGCCUGGCUGGUCCGCCGCAAGGUGAGUACUGGUCAGCCGCCCUUCCUCUCGAAAGCCCCGACUGCUCUUUACUGCAGUGGUCGGGUAGUUCGGGACGUUUACUUUGAAAAAAUUAGAGUGUUCAAGGCAGGCUAUCGCCUGAAUACAUUAGCAUGGAAUAAUGGAAGAGGACCUCGGUCCUAUUUUGUUGGUUUCUAGGGCCGAAGUAAUGAUUAAGAGGGACAGUUGGGGGCAUUCGUAUUUAAUUGUCAGAGGUGAAAUUCUUGGAUUUAUGAAAGACGAACUAGUGCGAAAGCAUUUGCCAAGGAUGUUUUCAUUGA
rnacentral:rRNA from 1 species